CAACGUUCAGCCUGCCGUUGAAACUGCCGGGCUUGAGUUCAGUGGCGGGCAGGCGGAAUUCGUGGUGUAGCGGUGAAAUGCAUAGAUAUCACGAGGAACUCCGAUUGCGAAGGCAGCUUGCCAUACUGCGACUGACACUGAAGCACGAAGGCGUGGGUAUCAAACAGGAUUAGAUACCCUGGUAGUCCACGCAGUAAACGAUGAUUACUAGGAGUUUGCGAUAUACCGUCAAGCUUCCACAGCGAAAGCGUUAAGUAAUCCACCUGGGGAGUACGCCGGCAACGGUGAAACUCAAAGGAAUUGACGGGGGCCCGCACAAGCGGAGGAACAUGUGGUUUAAUUCGAUGAUACGCGAGGAACCUUACCCGGGAUUGAAAUGUAGAUGACGGAUGGUGAAAACCGUCUUCCCUUCGGGGCUUCUAUGUAGGUGCUGCAUGGUUGUCGUCAGCUCGUGCCGUGAGGUGUCGGCUUAAGUGCCAUAACGAGCGCAACCCACAUCGGUAGUUGCUAACAGUUUUCGCUGAGGACUCUACCGAGACUGCCGUCGUAAGGCGUGAGGAAGGUGUGGAUGACGUCAAAUCAGCACGGCCCUUACAUCCGGGGCGACACACGUGUUACAAUGGGAGGGACAAAGGGCAGCUACCGGGCGACCGGAUGCGAAUCUCUAAACCCUUCCCCAGUUCGGAUCGGAGUCUGCAACUCGACUCCGUGAAGCUGGAUUCGCUAGUAAUCGCGCAUCAGCCAUGGCGCGGUGAAUACGUUCCCGGGCCUUGUACACACCGCCCGUCAAGCCAUGGGAGUCGGGGGCACCUGAAGGGCGUAACCGCAAGGGGCGCACUAGGGUAAUACUG
rnacentral:rRNA from 1 species